rnacentral:rRNA from 1 species
CCUACGGGAGGCAGCAGUGGGGAAUAUUGGACAAUGGGGGGAACCCUGAUCCAGCGACGCCGCGUGAGUGAAGAAGUAUUUCGGUAUGUAAAGCUCUAUCAGCAGGGAAGAAAGACAUGACGGUACCUGACUACGAAGCCCCGGCUAACUACGUGCCAGCAGCCGCGGUAAUACGUAGGGGGCAAGCGUUAUCCGGAUUUACUGGGUGUAAAGGGAGCGUAGACGGCGAUGCAAGUCUGAAGUGAAAGGCGGGGGCCCAACCCCCGGACUGCUUUGGAAACUGUAUGGCUGGAGUGCAGGAGAGGUAAGUGGAAUUCCUAGUGUAGCGGUGAAAUGCGUAGAUAUUAGGAGGAACACCAGUGGCGAAGGCGGCUUACUGGACUGUAACUGACGUUGAGGCUCGAAAGCGUGGGGAGCAAACAGGAUUAGAUACCCCGGUAGUC